UUUGAAGACGAGAUAGAAAAUGAAUUGAGUUUAUGGCCCAUUUCAAAGCCCAUGAACUAAAACGUCGUGUUACCAUGUGACAUCUUCAAUGAACCACUAAUCAGUCUAUGACACGUUGAAGAGCAACCAAAACCUUUCUUCUCCCUCUCCUUGAGUUAGUCCGUUUUGAGUCACUUGCACUCCCACGUUCACAGAUAAAUCAUUCCCACAUCCUCUUUCACACGUUUAAUCGCAUCUUCCAUUUUUAACUCAUAUCAUUACCGCUAACAGUCGGGAAUAGUCACGUUAAUGGGAGAUCUAGAUCGAUAUAUCACCACCGUCCACCCGCAAGGCAUGAAAAACGACAAGGCUUGCGAUCCUCGAAACGCCGCUGCACACAGAACCCUAGCGUUCAUCUCCAGUUUAUAAUUCGUCACGCUUAUCGAUGACGACUACGGUAUGGUUCCACUUUCUCUUCCAACAAAAAUUCAGAUUAUUUAUGGUAUUAGAACAAUAUAUCUGCAGGAACAAAAGGACUACGCGAAAGAAGAUCUUGCAAGGAUUUAUUAAGGACGUCAACGGCAGCAAAGAUGACUACAGUAUGGAUCCACUUUCUGAAUUGUGUAAGGUUUUCGUAUUUGCAACCAAAAGUAAUUUCCAAAGACCUUCGUUAUUCUUGAAAUUCUAGAAUUUCAUUCUUUUAGUGCAAAAUAUUGUCAAUUAGGGAGAUUUUCACAAAGAUAAGAGUCGCCAUGUGUGGAACUUAACUUUUUCAGAUUCUUAAGCAUGGGAAAAUCUGAAGGAGACGAAUAAUGCUUUGCAAGUCACAAAGAUUGUCGAAAAGAAAAGUGACACAUACGUAUUCGAAUCUUUAA